rnacentral:rRNA from 1 species
UUGAACGCUAACGGCGUGCUUAACACAUGCAAGUCGAGCGGCAGCACAGUUGUAGCAAUACGAUGGGUGGCGAGCGGCGGACGGGUGAGUAAUACAUAGGAAUCUGCCUUGUAGUGGGGGAUAACCCGGGGAAACUCGGGCUAAUACCGCAUAAUCUUUACGAAGCAAAGUGGGGGACCGUAAGGCCUCACGCUAUAAGAUGAGCCUAUGUUGGAUUAGCUAGUUGGUAGGGUAAAAGCCUACCAAGGCGACGAUCCAUAGCUG